rnacentral:rRNA from 1 species
UACGUAGGGUGCAAGCGUUGUCCGGAAUUAUUGGGCGUAAAGAGCUCGUAGGCGGUUUGUUGCGUCGGCUGUGAAAUCCCGAGGCUCAACCUCGGGUCUGCAGUCGAUACGAGCAAACUAGAGUGUUGCAGGGGAGACUGGAAUUCCUGGUGUAGCGGUGAAAUGCGUUGAUAUCAGGAGGAACACCCAUGGCGAAGGCAGGUUACUGGGCAUUAUCUGACGCUGAGGCGCGAAAGCGUGGGUAGCAAACGGG